rnacentral:lncRNA from 1 species
AUGGGCCUCCUGGAUGCGGUUCCUAGGGAGGCACAAUGGUGUUUGACCCCAAACACAACUCGCCUCAGCCCCUCUCUCCCUGGGGUCCCCCGCCAGCUACCAGGUCUUGUUCUGCAGGGGCCGUCAAGGGGACAUGGGCCUCUCCGGCAGCACAGGAGAAGAGGAGUGGAAACAAUUACUCUGAUAACUCAGACCGCGACGUCACAACCCUCACAGGGAAAGCAAACCAUGAAAAAGCCACGUGAUUGUGUCUUUCUGUCGUGGGUCUCCGGGUUGGCCCGGGCCCGGGAGUGGGAGCCACAGCACAGCUGCCUGGUCGGAGUCCGCACCCCCUUCCCAGCCCACAGUCGGUUGCCUGGGUCACUCCUGCUGCCGCUGCUUCCUCGUGGAGCCAGCCCCUGUGGCUCCGGGCUCCCGCGUGCCCUGCCGUCCAGCGGCGGCCUUUGGCCGUAG